rnacentral:tRNA from 1 species
UAUGGGCUUAGGAUAAACAUAAACCGAGGGCCUUCAAAGUCCUAAACAAGAGUACACUCUCUUAGCCCCUGA